CCUACGGGUGGCUGCAGUGGGGAAUAUUGGACAAUGGGCGAAACCCUGAUCCAGCCAUGCCGCGUGUGUGAAGAAGGCCUUCGGGUUGUAAAGCACUUUCAGUGGGGAAGAAAGCCUUGGGGCUAAUACCCUCGAGGAAGGACAUCACCCACAGAAGAAGCACCGGCUAACUCCGUGCCAGCAGCCGCGGUAAUACGGAGGGUGCGAGCGUUAAUCGGAAUUACUGGGCGUAAAGCGCGCGUAGGCGGUCUGAUAAGCCGGUUGUGAAAGCCCCGGGCUCAACCUGGGAACGGCAUCCGGAACUGUCAGGCUAGAGUGCAGGAGAGGAAGGUAGAAUUCCCGGUGUAGCGGUGAAAUGCGUAGAGAUCGGGAGGAAUACCAGUGGCGAAGGCGGCCUUCUGGACUGACACUGACGCUGAGGUGCGAAAGCGUGGGUAGCAAACAGGAUUAGAUACCCGGGUAGUC
rnacentral:rRNA from 1 species